rnacentral:rRNA from 1 species
GACGAAAGAGGGGGGCGUGCUUAACACAUGCCAGUCGAACGGAAAGGCCCCUUUGGGGGUACUCGAGUGGCGAACGGGUGAGUAACACGUGAGUAACCUGCCCUUGACUUCGGGAUAACUUCAGGAAACUGGGGCUAAUACCGGAUAGGAAUCCUUGCUGCAUGGUGGGGGUUGGAAAGCUUCGGCGGUUUUGGAUGGACUCGCGGCUUAUCAGCUUGUUGGUGGGGUAGUGGCUUACCAAGGCUUUGACGGGUAGCCGGCCUGAGAGGGCGACCGGCCACAUUGGGACUGAGAUACGGCCCAGACUCCUACGGGAGGCAGCAGUGGGGAAUAUUGCACAAUGGGCGGAAGCCUGAUGCAGCAACGCCGCGUGCGGGAUGACGGCCUUCGGGUUGUAAACCGCUUUCAGCAGGGGCGAAGCUUGUGGUGACGGUACCUGCAGAAGAAGCACCGGCUAACUACGUG